rnacentral:lncRNA from 1 species
GGGCGGGCCCUGGGAGGAGGAGGGGCAGGAAAGGCCUUCCGGCCUGAGCCCCUCCGGCCUGGGCUGCUCUCUUCCUCGAUGUCGUAGGAGAGAGUGCAAGCACCGGGAUGGGAAGUUUAACAAGCCAGAACCUACCAUAGAACAGUGCUUAAGUCCUUAAGAGUAGAUGGCUUCCAUUUGACUCCCUGGGGCAGGAACUUUGAGACAUAAAGGAAUGAGGCAGUCAUAUUCAUCCCUGCUACAGAGAUGAAUCCCUAAGGCUUUGGGGAAAUAUUCCCUUAAGGAUUAUAGGAUGUCUACUAUUUUCUUGGAACAACAACAACAAAAACUGAUGUUGCAUCUAAAUAGACGACAGAACAACAACCCAGACACCUGGAGGAAUCCCUGAAGAUAAAGAAUCAGGUAUCACUAUCUACUCAGAACCUUUGCUUUUAUUGGUCCUUUAAGAAAUUUGAAGAUCAUGCCACUGUCUCCUCGUGGGUUAUUAUCAAAGUAGUGAAUCCCAUGAUCUUUUGACUGAAAUUCCCAGUGUUGUAUAUUCUGCUUGUUGUGACAAGCAUACCUAUACCCUGACCUUUACCAACCA